rfam:Parcubacteria bacterium GW2011_GWA2_43_13 TV70_C0011, whole genome shotgun sequence.
UUCGGGAACUGGAUGAUUGCUCUAAAGUAAGGGUAAAACCUUAUCUUUGGGGAGGAAAGUCCGAGCACCCCCCGCAUCUAUUAUUGGGAAAGUUAUCGCUUUUCAACAGAACACUAUUGAAAUAGCUUCAAAAAAUGUACAUACAUAAUCCUUAUUUUACUCGCCAGAGUAAAAUACCCAAUAAUAGGUGCGGGGUCGCGGAAGUGGCUAACGGCCACCGGGUGUACCAAAGCGCGUGAAUGUGUGUUCAGGCAUGCGCAGAUGCUAAGCCCAGGGAAAGUGCCACAGAGACAAUACAAGCCCGCACUAACUUUUGCCCCAAAAUGCGUGUGUAUGGGUACAUGAUUGCGCUUUUCAUGGUGUGUACGCAAACAUGGCAAAAGUUAGUGCGGGUCAAAGGUGAAAAGUGUCGCGAUGUCGCAAUACCCCACAGAGUGAGGGCGGCUAACGGCAACCCCAAUGGUAACAUUGGUGACUCUUUUAUCAUGGCAGAAAGGUAUUCCACCUUAUUGCAAUGCAAGAGUAUUGUUGGUAAACCCUUCCUGGUGAAAGUCAAAAAGACGUUCGAGGCCCAUAGCAAUAUGAGUCCCAGAUAGAUAAUCAUCCAUUCUGCGUUCCGGCAACGCAGGAGGACAGAACUCGGCUUAUAGGUUCCCGAAUGCC